rnacentral:antisense_RNA from 1 species
CUUCACCGACCCCAGCCACAACGGCUCGUCCCGCCCCUGACCGUAGGUCGCCAGGAGCGCCUGGGCCUC